UACAGAGGUCCCAAGCGUUGUUCGGAUUCAUUGGGCGUAAAGGGUGCGUAGGCGGCGCGGUAAGUCGGGUGUGAAAUCUCGGAGCUUAACUCCGAAACUGCAUUCGAUACUGCCGUGCUUGAGGACUGGAGAGGAGACUGGAAUUUACGGUGUAGCGGUGAAAUGCGUAGAUAUCGGGAGGAACACCAGUGGCGAAGGCGCUUUCUGGCCUGUUCUUGACGCUGAGGCGCGAAAGCUAGGGGGAGCAAACGGGG
rnacentral:rRNA from 1 species